GACGAACGCCGGCGGCGUGCUUAACACAUGCAAGUCGAACGGAAAGGCCUUGCUUUUGUGGGGUGCUCGAGUGGCGAACGGGUGAGUAACACGUGAGUAACCUGCCCUUGACUUUGGGAUAACUUCAGGAAACUGGGGCUAAUACCGGAUAGGAGCUCCUGCUGCAUGGUGGGGGUUGGAAAGUUUCGGCGGUUGGGGAUGGACUCGCGGCUUAUCAGCUUGUUGGUGGGGUAGUGGCUUACCAAGGCUUUGACGGGUAGCCGGCCUGAGAGGGUGACCGGCCACAUUGGGACUGAGAUACGGCCCAGACUCCUACGGGAGGCAGCAGUGGGGAAUAUUGCACAAUGGGCGGAAGCCUGAUGCAGCAACGCCGCGUGCGGGAUGACGGCCUUCGGGUUGUAAACCGCUUUCGCCUGUGACGAAGCGUGAGUGACGGUAAUGGGUAAAGAAGCACCGGCUAACUACGUG
rnacentral:rRNA from 1 species